rfam:Papilio xuthus contig17564, whole genome shotgun sequence.
UCGCUCACAAAGUGGUUGAGAUGUGCUUGUUAUGUAUCAUAUCACAGCCAGCUUUGAUGAGCGACA